rnacentral:tRNA from 1 species
UCCCCAGUAGCUCAGUUGGUUGAGCAAUCGGCUGUUAACCGAUCGGUCGUAGGUUCGGGUCCUACCUGUGGAG